CGAGUUGUGGUUUGUAAUUAAUAGGUGUCACCUGCUGUUGAAUUAUAUUACAUAUAUCAAGUUGCAUGAAACUGUUGGAGCGACUAGUUUUUCUGUUCGAGUUUGAAAUCAAUCUUGAAAGAAUAUAACUGCCAGCAUUUAUUCAGGGAAUAAUAUAUCUUACAUUGGCUAUAUGACACAGUGAUGCAAUACACGUCGUCCUAUCUUUAUACUUACCAAAUCAGUUAUUCUAUUUAUAAGCACUUCAUCAUGUAUUAGUUAUGCAGUUUAUUUUUCUUCGUAUAAUUGUGUUCUUAACACGUUUCCUUGAUAUAGUGUAUAUUAUAUUGUCACAGCUUUUAUUUAAUAUAAUUUGAUCCAUUGAUAUAUGGAUAACACGAAAUGCAGUUACAUCUGGGAACCAAAACCCACCUAACCAAACAGAUAGCUAGAUUACAAAAGGCUUCAUCUCCGGUGAGUACUGGAAAUGCCUUGGAGUGGAUUCGCUCUUGCACUAAGCGAUUGAUCACAUAUUCAUGAGACUAUAUAUAAGCGUUUCUUUGUUCCUCUUCAGUAAGUUGCAUUUGCUUUAACUCAAGUGGCAAGUACUGUACAUAUGCCUUUCAACUCUGGGUCUGUGAUCACACUUCGAUUAUUGCAUUACGUAAAGCAUAUGAAGAGUGCCUCCAGAUCCCGUGGUAUUCUAGAGGAAGAAAGCAGAUUAUUGGUCUUUCAUGUCCUCUAUUAACUAAAAAUAUUCAACUUAACUUGGACUUGUGAUAGAUCUAUAUCGGGCCAUUAUCAUAAAAGUUACAGUUUAUUUAGCUGAAGAAGAAAGCAAUAUAGUUUCGAAAGCAAUAUUAGUCACUCUAUAUAGUUUCAUAAUAUUAUUUAUAACAUUUGUCCUCUCAGUUCAUGUGACCAUUGAAAAGAAAAGAAUCCAUUGUUUCACCUGUGGACAAGUGUCCUUCAU